GACCCCASGUCAAGCGGGGCUACCCGCUGAGUUUAA
rnacentral:rRNA from 1 species